CGUCUGCUCCGGCGGCUGCCGCGGAAAGGAAGCGGCGGGGUCAGGGGGCGCGGGUCACCGCCUGACCCGGAAGGGAUGGCGGGAGGCGGUGUGUCCGCUGCCGCAGGCGCAGGGCUGUGUCCCGAUCCCAAUCCCGAUCCUUCCGAGCCGGGACAAACCGUGGCCGUCUGUCCCGAGCCCAAACCGGGCCGAUCUCCCCAGGAUGGCGCGGCCGCCUCUCCCCUCACACAAUUCUCCCGCCGCCCCGACCUCCCCAAGAUGGCGGCGGCCUGUCCCCGGCUUCCUCCCCAAGAUGGCUGCGGGCGCGUGUUUGCGCUCCAGAGGGAGAAGGCCCGGGAGAGCUUUGGAAGCGAACCGGUUUAAAAAACAACUGGAGGGAAAUGGGUGUAAUUCCAGCAAGCAUCCUGCUUCCCCCCGGCUACGCCGCUGCAGUCGGCUCUGCCCCAGCUCAGCUAGAGCCAGGAGCUGAUGGGAGAAGUUUCAAGCCCGGUGAUUCCCUCAGGAGAUCUGGCAGCUGAUGGGAGAAGCAGAGACUGCAUCUGUGAACCGUGAGCGAUGGCACAGGAACACCUCCCUGAGCUGUGACCGGGGAGAUUUGUUCCACCUCAACAAAGAGAAUGUCAGUUUGUAAAUUUUUAAAUAAAGGUGGUCCAGCAAGGCAA